rnacentral:rRNA from 1 species
AGAUUGAACGCUGGCGGCAUGCCUUACACAUGCAAGUCGAACGGCAGCACGGGAGCAAUCCUGGUGGCGAGUGGCGAACGGGUGAGUAAUACAUCGGAACGUGCCCAAUCGUGGGGGAUAACGCAGCGAAAGCUGUGCUAAUACCGCAUAAGAUCUACGGAUGAAAGCAGGGGAUCGCAAGACCUUGCGCGAAUGGAGCGGCCGAUGGCAGAUUAGGUAGUUGGUGAGGUAAAGGCUCACCAAGCCUUCGAUCUGUAGCUGGUCUGAGAGGACGACCAGCCACACUGGGACUGAGACACGGCCCAGACUCCUAGGGAGGCAGCA